AUUGAACGCUGGCGGCAUGCCUUACACAUGCAAGUCGAACGGCAGCACGGGAGCUUGCUCCUGGUGGCGAGUGGCGAACGGGUGAGUAAUACAUCGGAACGUACCCUGAAGUGGGGGAAAACGUAGCGAAAGUUACGCUAAUACCGCAUAUUCUGUGAGCAGGAAAGAGGGGGAUCGCAAGACCUCUUGCUUUAGGAGCGGCCGAUGUCGGAUUAGCUAGUUGGUGAGGUAAAGGCUCACCAAGGCGACGAUCCGUAGCGGGUCUGAGAGGAUGAUCCGCCACACUGGGACUGAGACACGGCCCAGACUCCUACGGGAGGCAGCAGUGGGGAAUUUUGGACAAUGGGCGCAAGCCUGAUCCAGCCAUGCCGCGUGAGUGAAGAAGGCCUUCGGGUUGU
rnacentral:rRNA from 1 species